rnacentral:rRNA from 1 species
CGGACGGGUGAGUAACGUGUGGGCAACCUGCCCUGCACUGGGGAAUAAUCAUUGGAAACGAUGACUAAUACCGCAUACGGUUCCUGGGAGGCAUCUUUCCGGGAAAGAAAAGGAUUUAUUCGGUGCAGGAUGGGCCCGCAUCUGAUUAGCUAGUUGGUGAGAUAACAGCCCACCAAGGCGACGAUCAGUAGCCGACCUGAGAGGGUGACCGGCCACAUUGGGACUGAGACACGGCCCAAACUCCUACGGGAGGCAGCAG